AACUUUUAACAACGGAUCACUUGGCUCUCGCAUCGAUGAAGAACACAGCGAAAUGUGAUAAGUAAUGUGAAUUGCUGAAUUCAGUGAAUCAUCGAAUCUUUGAACGCAUCUUGCGCUCCUUGGUAUUCUGAGGAGCAUGCCUGUUUGAGUGUCAUUAAAUUCUCAACCACACUAAUUUUUAUUGGUGUGGCUUGGAUUAUGGGGUUUCUGCAGGCUUUAAAACCAGCUUCCCUGAAAUGCAUUAGUGGUAUCUGAGCAGACUACAGGUGUGAUAACUAUCUAUGCCUUUGCUGAAAACAGAUUACACUGCUUCAAACAACAAACUAUUGUUUUUGUUUGACCUCAAAUCAGGUAGGACUACCCGCUGAACUUAAGCAUAUCAAUAAGCGGAGGCU
rnacentral:misc_RNA from 1 species